CCACAGCUGCAACCGCUCGGAACAAGCUCCUAAGUACCGGGAAACCGGUCACUUGUCUUCGGCGAGUCUAAGUCUUUAA
rfam:Lactobacillus zymae DSM 19395 NODE_110, whole genome shotgun sequence.